GUCCCGCCGCUCCGCGUGCAGCGCCAUCUCUCUCUCUCUCUGUCACCGGGGCUGCCAUCCCCGGGGCUGUCCGAAGGACGGUCGUCACACCAUCCCCGUCGUACGAAGACGUCCAGAUGAGUUUUGUAUUUGUUUUUCGUGUGCCCAUUUUACUUCCCUAGCAAUAUUUAUUUUUCCACAACUUCUGACACCAAAUGUAAUGGGUUCAAUUUAGGCGCACACACUUCUUGGGAGGCAACACUCAUUUAUUAAUUAACACAACGUUUACUCAACAGUUACUCUUACUCUACACAUAGGGUGGUGACCACCGACCUACACUAGCUAACACACAACAGCGUGACCCAGCCAGGUGGCUGCUGGCAGUCCGCUCACUGUAGGUCUUCUCUUCUGGCAUCUUCACGAGGUGUCUUCAUUCUUCUCAGGAACAGCCCUGCUCUGCCUUCACACCACCCUUAUAUCUCGUCUCUCUGGCGUGGCCGGCUCCGCCCAGGCCACGCCUCCCUUCCCAGGCCACGCCUCACUUCCCAGGCCACGCCUCACUUCCCCCACCUCUGGGAAGGUCCGGAUCCCUCCAGCACGUGACCCCCCAGGCACCCCCUUGGGGCCCCCAGCCCUCGUACGGGCCAACACAGUAGUGACCGUUCUGUCACUACACAUAAUAAAGGUUGUUUUUUUUUGGGUUGGCGCGUGUAAACAAAAAUGUGUCGUUAACCUACCACCGCCCGACACAGCCAAUUAGUAAGGUAUUUCAAGUAAGACAAAUGUGCCAAUUAGUUACUACUGCAGCACACCGGUGUGUCGAAGCAGAGUAAACCCACAACAUUUACAAUUUGAGUACCGUGACGUUUCGCUGGUGAUUACAACCAGACCCAUCCUCUUGCUCGACUCCUCCUUCACUGAACCCUCAACCGUAUCUCCUCCACGGCACGGGGCACACGCCGAAACGCCGCCCAAAAACCGCAAGGAAACUCGGCGCUGCCCAACCGCUCGAGAGUUCUGCUCAUGUACCGGACCCGCCGUGCAGGUGAACUCACCCCACGCAGGAACUCUUACCGUGUUUUGCCGCCUGUGAGUGGUUGUUGUUGUUGACAGGCUGUGGUGCCGGUGAAAUGUUACGCCGUGUGAGUGGUGGUGAGUGGGUUUGCCGUGUGGUGGCGGCGGCGGUGACGUUGAAUGGUGGUUGGUGUUGUUGACAGACAGGCCGGCGAGCGAGCUGGCGGUAGGUUUGGACGUGGUGCAGAAGCUGGCGGAAGCGCAUCACUCGGGCCUCCUGCACAUCAACCUGCAGACGGAGAGAGGGGUGCUCGCGGCCGCUCGCCGCGUGGUGCGGCUGCUCGUCGUGUGCGCCGGCCUCUGCCCGGGGCUGUCGGCCACCCGUCUCUCCGCCCUCACCUGCCCGGGACCCGUGCAGCAGCAUCCGCAGCAGCAGGCACAGCAGGCGCAGCAGGCGCAGGACAGCGAAGCGCACAGCGGCUCCUUCGUCACCGCCAGCAGCUCCGCCUGACGCGCUCCUCCUCGCGCCCGGCCGAGACCCCUGACCCGGCGAAAGUGCUACCAUCUUUUUUUUUCUUUCUAUAAUUUAGGAGUUUGUAAGGUGCAGUUACGGACGCAGUCCAUCUCCAGUAACCACACUGCGUUCACAACGCGACGCUGAAAUUAACAGUCGUUGCCCCUCCGAUAAAACGCCUCCAAUUGUUGAGCAAACUUCUGACACGUGACUUCUGUUUCGCCCUUAUUAUCCCGAGCCCCACUUGCGCAGGCACCUUUCUCGAGUUGUGUAAAAUCCCCGUAGAAUUGCCAUCGGUUAUCAAGUCCGAGGCUGUCGAAUAAACGCGUUUAUCCAUUACAGUGGUGGGGUUAAAGCGAUUCCAGAAACAGCCGCUGGGUGGCGAGCUUUGCCCAUUUCCCCAUCUACAGCUUUACCACAACAACAGAAACACUCGAUGCCGGAUUCGGAGACGAGGCUUUCCGGUUAUGUGGGGGGGAUGUCCAACAUACGGCACAUACAUUUGAAUAAAAAUGCAAAGGUGCA